UUUAACAUUUUUUGAAUUUUCAGGCUUAGAGAUCCCAUGUGGGCCCCACGCCGGGGAAUUUUGUGCUCGGAUUUAUUUUCUGGAUUCAUGUACAUAUUAUUUGAUGUUCAUGUAAGGGUAUAUUUGGAUUUUUACAUCAAUAUGGCAUUAUUGGGUUUAUUUGAUUGUGAGGGGCGUAAAGGUCAUUUUGGUGGUCAAAGGUGGACCAACCUUUGACCAAGUCACAUGUGAGGGGACAAAUUCAGAUUACUUCCACUCCCUCUCCCAUUUUAUGACGAGCCAUUUCUUCUUCUUCCCCAUCCUCCAUUAAUGGCCACCAUUGUUACCCUAGUUAGAGCUCAUUUUUGACCCCUUUUUUAGUGAGAUUCGGGCAAAGUGUUAGAAGAGAAGUUGAACCUACAUGUCAUAAGCUUUCUAUUGAUGCCAUCAUAUUCACCAUUUGAGCCACUUGAAAUUUCGGGUCUUGCUUAGAGUAGGAUUUGAGAAAAAGGCUUGGUAGAGAAGUUGUUAGGCAUGUCUUGAUCUACAUGAUGGUGUGAUUUUGGAGACCAUUGGAGGCUUCUUAGAUUUUCGGCCAAGGCUUGAGGAGGGCUUUUGUUGCGUCUUCAAGAGGGAAGGUUGGUCUCAUUUUCCUCCUCUUCAUUUUGGUGGUGAUAGCUUGCAUUUUGGAGGAGUUUAACAAGGAGCCAAAGUUAGGGUUUAUGCAUUCAAGAGGUAUACUCUACUGAGCGGUGGUGCUUGCCCUUUUAUCUUAAACAUUUUUUAGGGUAGGAAGCGACGAAAUGGAUGAGACGCUUCAAUGUACUUAGGCGUAGUUAGGAUGUUUAUUUUCAUCAUCUUUUGUAACUGAUGUCACAUUCAUAAAGUUUUAUCAUAAGCUUGUACUAUUUUGAAGUCAUUUCAAUAGUGAUGUAAACUGAUGACCUUGGUGGUGUAACCUAUCAAACUUGUAUAAUUUUAUCUAUCUUUUGUGGUCUCA